rnacentral:rRNA from 1 species
GUGAGUAACACGUGAGCAACCUGCCCUGGACUCUGGGAUAAGCGCUGGAAACGGCGUCUAAUACUGGAUAUGAGCUCUCAUCGCAUGGUGGGGGUUGGAAAGAUUUUUCGGUCUGGGAUGGGCUCGCGGCCUAUCAGCUUGUUGGUGAGGUAAUGGCUCACCAAGGCGUCGACGGGUAGCCGGCCUGAGAGGGUGACCGGCCACACUGGGACUGAGACACGGCCCAGACUCCUACGGGAGGCAGCAGUGGGGAAUAUUGCACAAUGGGCGGAAGCCUGAUGCAGCAACGCCGCGUGAGGGAUGACGGCCUUCGGGUUGUAAACCUCUUUUAGCAGGGAAGAAGCGAGAGUGACGGUACCUGCAGAAAAAGCGCCGGCUAACUACGUGCCAGCAGCCGCGGUAAUACGUAGGGCGCAAGCGUUAUCCGGAAUUAUUGGGCGUAAAGAGCUCGUAGGCGGUUUGUCGCGUCUGCUGUGAAAUCCCGAGGCUCAACCUCGGGCCUGCAGUGGGUACGGGCAGACUAGAGUGCGGUAGGGGAGAUUGGAAUUCCUGGUGUAGCGGUGGAAUGCGCAGAUAUCAGGAGGAACACCGAUGGCGAAGGCAGAUCUCUGGGCCGUAACUGACGCUGAGGAGCGAAAGGGUGGGGAGCAAACAGGCUUAGAUACCCUGGUAGUCCACCCCGUAAACGUUGGGAACUAGUUGUGGGGACCAUUCCACGGUUUCCGUGACGCAGCUAACGCA